AGUGAACGCUGGCGGUAGGCCUAACACAUGCAAGUCGAACGGCAGCACAGAGGAGCUUGCUCCUUGGGUGGCGAGUGGCGGACGGGUGAGGAAUACAUCGGAAUCUACUCUGUCGUGGGGGAUAACGUAGGGAAACUUACGCUAAUACCGCAUACGACCUACGGGUGAAAGCAGGGGACCUUCGGGCCUUGCGCGAUUGAAUGAGCCGAUGUCGGAUUAGCUAGUUGGCGGGGUAAAGGCCCACCAAGGCGACGAUCCGUAGCUGGUCUGAGAGGAUGAUCAGCGACACUGGAACUGAGACACGGUCCAGGCUCCUACGGGAGGAAGAAGUGGGGAAUAUUGGACAAUGGGCGCAAGCCUGAUCCAGCCAUACCGCGUGGGUGAAGAAGGCCUUCGGGUUGUAAAGCCCUUUUGUUGGGAAAGAAAUCCAGCUGGCUAAUACCCGGUUGGGAUGACGGUACCCAAAGAAUAAGCACCGGCUAACUUCGUGCCAGCAGCCGCCGUAA
rnacentral:rRNA from 1 species